ensembl:lncRNA
AUCCCAGUGGUAUUGCCUGAGUAGAGAUUUGGUGGAGCAGAGUGAGGAAAAUUCAUCUGGAGGUUUCAACCUUGUGUGUUCUGAAAGUCGAGAAAGCAAACCUCCAAGAGUCCAAGAAUUCCAGAGCCAAUGAGAGCUUUGGCAGCCAGUCAGCAUUGAUGCUCUGAAGAAUAAGGC